CACGUAGGGCGCAAGCGUUGUCCGGAAUUAUUGGGCGUAAAGAGCUCGUAGGCGGCUUGUCACGUCGGGUGUGAAAGCCCCGGGGCUUAACCCCGGGUCUGCAUUCGAUACGGGCAGGCUAGAGUGUGGUAGGGGAGAUCGGAAUUCCUGGUGUAGCGGUGAAAUGCGCAGAUAUCAGGAGGAACACCGGUGGCGAAGGCGGAUCUCUGGGCCAUUACUGACGCUGAGGAGCGAAAGCGUGGGGAGCGAACAGG
rnacentral:rRNA from 1 species